CGGUUGAUCCUGCCGGACCUGACUGCUAUCGGAAUGAUACUAAGCCAUGCGAGUCAUUGUAGCAAUACAAGGCAGACGGCUCAGUAACGCGUAGUCAAUCUACCCUAUGGACGGGAAUAACCUCGGGAAACUGAGAAUAAUGCCCGAUAGAACAUUAUACCUGGAACGGUUUAUGUUUCAAAUGAUUUAUCGCCGUAGGAUGGGACUGCGGCCUAUCAGUUUGUUGGUGAGGUAAUGGCCCACCAAGACUAUUACAGGUACGGGCUCUGAGAGGAGUAGCCCGGAGAUGGGUACUGAGACACGGACCCAGGCCCUAUGGGGCGCAGCAGGCGAGAAAACUCUGCAAUGUGCGAAAGCACGACAAGGUUAAUCCGAGUGGUUUCUGCUAAAGAAACCUUUUGCUAGUCCUAGAAACACUAGUGAAUAAGGGGUGGGCAAGUUCUGGUGUCAGCCGCCGCGGUAAAACCAGCACCUCAAGUGGUCAGGAUGAUUAUUGGGCCUAAAGCAUCCGUAGCUCGUUUUGUAAGUUUUCGGUUAAAUCCAUACGCUCAACGUAUGGGCUGCCGGGAAUACUGCAUAACUAGGAAGUGGGAGAGGUAGACGGUACUCGGUAGGAAGGGGCAAAAUCCUUUGAUCUAUUGAUGACCACCUGUGGCGAAGGCGGUCUACCAGAACACGUCCGACGGUGAGGGAUGAAAGCUGGGGGAGCAAACCGGAUUAGAUACCCGGGUAGUCCCAGCUGUAAACUAUG
rnacentral:rRNA from 1 species